rnacentral:rRNA from 1 species
GCCAGAGAUGGUCGCCCCCUUGUGGUCGGUGUACAGGUGGUGCAUGGCUGUCGUCAGCUCGUGUCGUGAGAUGUUGGGUUAAGUCCCGCAACGAGCGCAACCCUUGUUCUGUGUUGCCAGCAUGCCCUUCGGGGUGAUGGGGACUCACAGGAGACUGCCGGGGUCAACUCGGAGGAAGGUGGGGACGACGUCAAGUCAUCAUGCCCCUUAUGUCUUGGGCUGCACACGUGCUACAAUGGCAGGUACAAUGAGCUGCGAAGCCGUGAGGCGGAGCGAAUCUCAAAAAGCCUGUCUCAGUUCGGAUUGGGGUCUGCAACUCGACCCCAUGAAGUCGGAGUUGCUAGUAAUCGCAGAUCAGCAUUGCUGCGGUGAAUACGUUCCCGGGCCUUGUACACACCGCCCGUCACGUCACGAAAGUCGGUAACACCCGAAGCCGGUGGCCCAACCCGUAAGGGAGGGA